CUACCAUGGCUUUUACGGGUAACGGAGGAUUAGGGUUCGAUUCCGGAGAGGGAGCCUGAGAAACGGCUACCACAUCUAAGGAAGGCAGCAGGCGCGUAAAUUACCCAAUCCUGACUCAGGGAGGUAGUGACAAGAAAUAACGGGCCGGGGUACAACCUCGGGACUGCAAUGAGACGAAUUUACACCCCUUAUCGAUCACCAAUUGGAGGGCAAGUCUGGUGCCAGCAGCCGCGGUAAUUCCAGCUCCAAUAGCGUAUAUUAAAGUUGUUGCAGUUAAAAAGCUCGUAGUUGGAUUUCUGGCAGGGGGUAGAAGCCGGCUCGCAGCCUGUGCUUGCAAUCCCCUACCAUCCUUCUGUUAACGUGCCAGGACAUUCACUUGUCGGGCACGGGCUCAGAUAAUUUACCUUGAGAAAAUUAGAGUGUUUCAGGCAGGCUGACGCCGGGAUACAUUAGCAUGGAAUAAUGGAAUAGGACUUUCGCCUCUUCUGUUGGUCUGAGGGGUGAUCGUAAUGAUUAAUAGGGAUAGUUGGGGGCAUUAGUACUUAACUGUCAGAGGUGAAAUUCUCGGAUUUGUUAAAGACUAACUUAUGCGAAAGCAUUUGCCAAGGAUGUUUUCAUUAAUCAA
rnacentral:rRNA from 1 species